AAGGUAGCCGUAGGGGAACCUGCGGCUGGAUCACCUCCUUUCUAAGGAUGAUCCUUCAGCGAGCUUCGGCUCACUAUCGGAUCGUUUUAGAAACAUCAGUGGCCAACAAUCGUCAGGAUUGUUGAGCUGCAUUGGCGGGAUUUCGCCGUCUUCGUUUCUCUUUCUUCGCGGACGAACACGCGCUGGGGCUGCAAGUUUGCAGAGUCCCUGGUCCUUGACUGGAUAUGCGUUAGGGGCUUGUAGCUCAGUUGGUUAGAGCGCGCGCUUGAUAAGCGUGAGGUCGGAAGUUCAAGUCUUCCCAGGCCCACCACUUUCAUCGAGUGAGCAUUCGUCUUCUGGUUACGGGGCCAUAGCUCAGCUGGGAGAGCGCGUGCUUUGCAAGCAUGAGGUCGUCGGUUCGAUCCCGUCUGGCUCCACCAGAUGGUUUGAUCAUCGACUGAUCGUGCACCUAAAUCGUCCGCGAAACAUCACUUCGCAUCUUGCUAGUCUGGAUAGACAGCAAGUUGCGUGAUUUCUGACAUCGUAAAGAGGAGAUCGAUCCGAGUUGGAUCGUGCAGCAAGCAAUUGCUACGCGAGACUUCAUUAUCUCCGGAUCAUUUCGGCGCUCGUGCGUCUUUCAAGGGCAGCUCACAAGGCUGCUUCUGGAGAGACAAGCGAGUUGUAAAUGAUCCUUUUAGCGAAGCUUGACCGCCUCGCUAUCGGAACGAUCUUACGAAGCAAGCUGGUCUUUCUAAUCAUUGUCCGGCUGCAGAUAGCGUUCAUCGAGGGCGCGUGCCGCAAGGCAGUUCUGCAGACAACAUUCUGCCGAGUGUGUGGACAUUGAUAAUGAGAGCAAUCAAGUGCCUUAAGGGUGUUCGGUGGAUGCCUUGG
rnacentral:tRNA from 1 species